CCUCAUAGCAACCCCAUAUGGUAGUUACUACGGUUUACUCUUUUCCUGGGCGUACAGAAGCUUUAGAUUCAUCAUCAUCAUCGUCAUCGUCAUCAUCCUUGGGUCACAUGGCUGAUAGGCAGAUACUGUACAUGACUUCUCACAAGAUCCCCAGGAGGACUGAACCCAGAUGCCUACGCUCUGUUUCACUCUUCCCAGUUCUCCCGUCCCAGCCUUGGGAACAUUUCCUCGAAUAAAUCGGCCUGUAUGGCGAGCUGA